GACAGAGGGUGCAAACGUUGUUCGGAAUUACUGGGCGUAAAGCGCGUGUAGGCGGCCAUCUAAGUCGGGCGUGAAAUCCCACGGCUCAACCGUGGAAGUGCACUCGAAACUGGAUGGCUAGAGUCCUGGAGAGGAAGGUGGAAUGCUUGGUGUAGAGGUGAAAUUCGUAGAUAUCAAGCGGAACACCAGUGGCGAAGGCGGCUCACUGGCCCGAUACUGACGCUGAGGCACGAAAGCGUGGGGAGCAAACAGG
rnacentral:rRNA from 1 species